rnacentral:rRNA from 1 species
UACGUAGGUGACAAGCGUUGUCCGGAUUUACUGGGCGUAAAGAGCGCGCAGGCGGUCGUUCAAGUCGAGUGUGAAAGCCCCCGGCUCAACUGGGGAGGGUCACUCGAUACUGAUCGACUCGAAGGCAGGAGAGGGAAGUGGAAUUCCCGGUGUAGUGGUGAAAUGCGUAGAUAUCGGGAGGAACACCAGUGGCGAAGGCGGCGAUCUGGGAAGAUACUGACGCUGAGGUGCGAAAGCGUGGGGAGCAAACAGG